GCGGGUGUAGCUCAGUUGGUUAGAGUGCCGGCCUGUCACGCCGGAGGUCGCGAGUUCAAGUCUCGUCACUCGCGCCA
rnacentral:tRNA from 1 species